rnacentral:rRNA from 1 species
CACGGGGGGGAGCAAGCGUUGUUCGGAAUCACUGGGCGUAAAGGGCGUGCAGGCGGUUCAGUAAGUGGGAUGUGAAAUCCCUCGGCUCACCCCGAGGACCUGCAUCCCAAACUGCUGAGCUUGAGUAUGGGAGAGGAUGAGGGAAUUCCUGGUAUAGCGGUGAAAUGCGUAGAUAUCAGGAGGAACACCGGUGGCGAAGGCGGCUCUCUGGACGGUACUGACGCUGAGACGCGAAAGCG